CGGCGCAUUAGCUAGUUGGUGGGGUAAAGGCUUACCAAGGCAAUGAUGCGUAGCCGAACUGAGAGGUUGAUCGGCCACAUUGGGACUGAGACACGGCCCAAACUCCUACGGGAGGCAGCAGUAGGGAAUCUUCCACAAUGGGCGAAAGCCUGAUGGAGCAACGCCGCGUGGGUGAAGAAGGUCUUCGGAUCGUAAAACCCUGUUGUUAGAGAAGAAAGUGCGUGAGAGUAACUGUUCACGUUUCGACGGUAUCUAACCAGAAAGCCACGGCUAACUACGUGCCAGCAGCCGCGGUAAUACGUAGGUGGCAAGCGUUAUCCGGAUUUAUUGGGCGUAAAGGGAACGCAGGCGGUCUUUUAAGUCUGAUGUGAAAGCCUUCGGCUUAACCGGAGUAGUGCAUUGGAAACUGGGAGACUUGAGUGCAGAAGAGGAGAGUGGAACUCCAUGUGUAGCGGUGAAAUGCGUAGAUAUAUGGAAGAACACCAGUGGCGAAAGCGGCUCUCUGGUCUGUAACUGACGCUGAGGUUCGAAAGCGUGGGUAGCAAACAGGAUUAGAUACCCUGGUAGUCCACGCCGUAAACGAUGAAUGCUAAGUGUUGGAGGGUUUCCGCC
rnacentral:rRNA from 1 species